ensembl:lncRNA
AUGGAGGGGAAUUCCCAACUUCAGUCUCAAAAAUGUGUUCCUGACCAGAGCAAGGAUGCUGCAGAGCUUCAUCCAAGACUUCAGGAAGUUCCUGUCAUGAAUCUGAAGGUUCCUGCCACAGUUCAAGAGACUGCAAGAAUAGAUCAGGUAGUUCCUGCCUCAGUUCCAGAAGUUCCUGCCACAGAGGUGCGGGUUGCUGUCACAGAUCGGGAGGUUCCUGGCAUCACUGUAGAUCUUCCAGCUGCAGUCCCAAGAUUGAGAUCAGCCAUGAAUGAGGCCUCUCCCCAGAUUCAAGUGCCUCAUUCAUUCAUCUCUCCUGGUCCUUGUGCUCAACAGCUAUGCAAGCAGCCAAGCCAGUUCCUGCCUCCAGAUUGUAAAUAAAAGAUUGAAAAUUGCAAGAAGAAUGCUUUCAACUUCUUCAAAUGUGGCUUCGCAACAGUUAUGUGUCCACAGAUACCUGGACAUGAGCUGUCACCUUGAGGUUCUUCAAAUGACUUCUAUCUGCCAGUGCUUUGCUUCUAGCCCUAAGGAAUGAAAUAGGAUUCAUUAUCUACUGUGUGACCAUGUAAUUGUCCUCACUUUGUACAUGACCUUGUUAGCAUCUUAAUUAAUAAAACAAGCAUUCAAAGGAAGAGCCAUCUCUCAUUGCAUUGUGGCAGUUGAUGGGUUCAAUGUCUCGAGGAGGUUUUGUGAAUUAGCUGAAGGCUUCCAACUAAAUGUUGAAGGAUGCUUCAAACCGUGUGAAGCAUAUUGAGGUGUUUGUUCCUAUAUGCAAGUUGAGAUACCAAAUCCUGGUGUUCUUAACCUUGACUAGUGAAUCGCCAUGUAACAUUGGUUCAACGGGUUAGAUCUAUUUGAGACUAACCCAAAGGUUCCAUGGAAUCAUUGAAUCAUAGAGUUGGAAGGGACCACAUGGGCCAUGUAGUCCAACCACCUGCCAGGCAGGAAAAACACAAUCAAAGUACCCCUGACAAAUUGCCAUCCAGCCUCUAUUUAAAAGCCUCCAAGGAAGACGCUUCAACCAUACGCAGAGGCACAAAGCUCCACUGUUGAACAGCUCAUACGGUUGGGAAGUUAUGUUUAGGUGGAGUCUCCUUUUCUAUAAUGUGAACCCAUUGCUCCAAGUCCUAUUCUCCAGGGCAGCAGUUUCUAUCAGAGACAGAGAUUGGGUGUUGGACUAUGAGUUUGAGAGACCAGGUUUCGUAUACCCAGUUGGUCAUGGAAACCAAAUGGAUGGCCUUGGGCUAGUGGUUCUCAACCUAGGGUCCCCAGAUGUUUUUGGCCUACAACUCCCAGAAAUCCCAGCCAGUUUACCAGCUGUUAGGAUUUCUGGGAGUUGAAGGCCAAAAACAUCUGGGGACCCCAGGUUGAGAACCACUGCCUUGGGCAAUUCAGCUUUCUGUCUCAACAGAUGGUAAUGACAGCACGCCUUCUGAAGAAAGCCUACCAAGAAAACCCCAUGAUAGGCUCACCUUAGGGUUACUGUAAGCAGAGCUGGCCCUAGGUAUUUUUCAAGUGUAGGCGAACAGAAUUUUGGUGCGCCCCCCCCCAAACCAAUCAUUGAAAAAUAAAAGCGUUGGAUAAGCAAAAAUGUUGGAUAGUAAGGAGGGAUUAAGGGAAAGCCUAUUAAACAUCAAAUUACAUUAAGAUUUUACAAAUUAAGCACCAAAACAUCAUGUUUUACAACAAAUCAACAAAAAAAGCAGCUCAAUACAUGGUAAUGUUAGGUAGGAAUUACUAUAUUUGCAAAUUUAGCACCAAACAUUGAACAAGGAUACAGGGCAGUGUGGACUUAAGAUAACCCAGAUAGACCACGGUAUCAAAAAAAACUCUAAAAUCAGGACAAUAAAUAAAGAACAACACUCUGAAAACAGGAGAAAUCCAGACAGUAAACAAUCAGGGACAGCUAACACCUCCCAAAAAAAGUUUCUCCUAGGCAAGAAGAAGCCAGGCCUUGAAGCCACAGGGCCAUUAAAUGCAAAUUGAGGUGAUUAAUUAGAGUUCUUUCUCCCACCCUGGACCUUCUACAAAUAUAUAAACCCCACUUACCUCACAAUCUCUGAAGGCCCCAAAGGCGGGCCCAGCGCGGGCACCGGGAGCCCCAAACACCUUCCUGAUGAGGCCUUCCUGGUGAGGCCU